UACGGGGGGAGCAAGCGUUGUUCGGAUUUACUGGGCGUAAAGGGCGCGUAGGCGGCCAGUGCAAGUCAGUUGUGAAAUCUCCGAGCUUAACUCGGAAAGGUCAACUGAUACUGCUCGGCUAGAGUGCAGAAGGGGCAACUGGAAUUCUUGGUGUAGCGGUGAAAUGCGUAGAUAUCAAGAGGAACACCUGCGGCGAAGGCGGGUUGCUGGGCCGACACUGACGCUCAUGCACGAAAGCGUGGGGAGCAAACAGG
rnacentral:rRNA from 1 species